CUUGGCGGCCAUAGCGCGGUGGUCCCACCUGAUCCCAUGCCGAACUCAGAAGUGAA
rnacentral:rRNA from 1 species